AUCGAUGCCCUUCACUAAAUCAGCGAAAGUGUGUCACGUUUGUUGAUGCUGUUGUUAUUGUUGAUGGUGUUGCGGUGAAAGAAUCUGCGAUACGAUACGCACACACAUCAUCAUCACAUGCAUAUUAUGCGUAUAUACGCGUAGAUCUGGAAGAGAGGGUAGAAAGAACAGAGAGAGAAGAAGAACAACAACGCAAAGCGGUGUUCGUUCCGCACGCACGCACGAGGCCAUGUCGGGAUUCAGAGACACUCACGGUUUUCCUCGUCCAAUCCUCGCUGUGAAUCUCGCUCUCGCUCUUCUCCACGCCGCCGUUGCGUUCCUCGCGUUCUUUCAGUUGCUGAGAAUUCACAUGAGGAAUGCGCAGCUUGGUUGGACUCGGCAAAAGGUGUUCCAUGUAUUGAUUGGCUCUUCUAAUUUGGGUUAUGUCAUUUAUUUGGCAUUGACAAUUGUUGCUUCCUGCAAGGGAUGGACCUGUUGGUCGCACUCUUGUGGUUUCAUAUUUAUGGCUUUCCCCAAAGUACUUUUUUUUGCAGCAUUUCUUCUUCUUUUAUCCUUCUGGGUUGACCUUUGCCAUCAGGCAGAUGAUGAUGAUGACUAUGAAGGAAGUUUUUGUGACAACCCUUUGCUGGAGAAGACUUUAAAUGAAUCAAAUUUAGCAAGCAUAGAUAGCCAUAGAAAGUGCUUUCCUUUUCGGUUUGCUCGUGUUGGAAAUCGGCAAAAAAUUGUGAUUUUGGUUACUUUGCUAGUUUUCAUCAUCGUGGUUGCUUUUGCUGUAGUAAUCUGGAUUGGGCUAGGAAAGAAUCCCAUUGAUUCUGAAGUGGCAGCUCGGGUAUAUUUAUAUCUUUCUGCUAUUGGGAUGCUUUUGUUGGGAGGAGCAUUAGCAUGCUAUGGAAUUCUAUUAUGCUUGAAAAUGAGCAAAGUGAGAGCCGAGAAACCUUCAUCUGAAAUGUGGAAGGUUGCAGGUUUAACUAUUGUCUCUGUAAUAUGCUUCACAUCAAGUUCCUGUGUAGAACUUUUAACCGACAUCCCUAUGCAGUAUAACUGGCAUCAGCGGCGUCUGAAUGAUGUUUACUCCUCUCUUUUACUCAUUUUGUAUUAUUUUGUGGGUUCAUCAAUACCUUCAGCAGUGGUACUGUGGGUAAUGAGAGAAUUACCACCUGAAGAAGCUGCUAGCAUACCCGAAGAAUCAAGUACAAUAGCUUUUGUUGCUGAUAGUUCAAUUGCAAUCCAUCAUCCUCAACGCUGGGCUACAGCAACAAGCAUGCAGAAUCAGAAAAUUAUUUUUUAAUAUGAACAUGGAAUGCUUGACUUUGACAGGCAGCACUUUAAGAUUCACAUUCAUAUUGUUUCCUACAAGUGUCAUCGCACAAGACAUCAAGAGCGAGUCCUAUAUGAUUAUGCAUUAACCUUUGCAAAUAUAUCUUGGUCUGCUGGAGUUUGGACAGCUUAAUGGAAUUUCCUCAGGAUGUUUAACCCUAGAGCGCAGAAGAGAGAAAAUGAUAAUGAUGGAUGCAAGUUCUCAAGGGACUUGAGGUUUCCCUUCCCACUGUAUUUACAAUCUAAAUCUAAAUGUAUAUAGCAGCAAUUUGAUAUAUGAAAAGUUCUUUUCCUUCUAUACAAAUUUUGGUACACUACUGUUUCAAUGCUGGUUGGGUAUUUUUCUGAGUUUGAAUGAUUCCCUUCUGAUGUGAAUAUGACUGUUGCAGAGUGAGCAUAUUCUUCUAUCCUGCUUGCAAG